GAAUUUUGGACAAUGGGCGAAAGCCUGAUCCAGCAAUGCAGCGUGCAGGAUGAAGGCCUUCGGGUUGUAAUCUGCUUUCGUACGGAACGAUAAGCUUGGGGUUAAUACCCUGGACUCAUGCCGCUACCGGUAGCAUCAGCAUCGGCUCACUCAGUGCCGGCAGCCGCGGUACUACGUAGGGUGCCAGCGUUAAUCGGAAUUACUGGGCGUAAAGGGUGCGCCGGCGGUUAUGUAAGACAGAGGUAAAAUCCCCGGGCUCAACCUGGGAACUGCCUUUGUGACUGCAAGGCUAGAGUACGGCAGAGGGGGGUGGAAUUCCGCGUGUAGCAGUGAAAUGCGUAGAUAUGCGGAGGAACACCGAUGGCGAAGGCAACCCCCUGGGCCUGUACUGACGCUCAUGCACGAAAGCGUGGGGAGCAAACA
rnacentral:rRNA from 1 species